CAAAAAUCAUUAUAAAAAUAUUUCCUAUAAAAGAGUAUUAUGUAUAUAUAUAUUCAAAUAUUCCAUUUAAAGUAUAUUUAAAACUCCAUAGCAAUACUAAAAUUUAAGGAAUUAACAUAAUAAAGGUUAGUUAUUUAAUUAUUACUCAGGCAGUUAGCAAUCAUUUAUUAAACACUUACUAUGUGCCAGACACUGCUAAGUUCUGGUGUUAUAAAAGAAAAGACUCCCUGUCCUCAAAAAGCAUACAUUCUAAUGAAGACGACAAUAGAUAUAUUAAACUAGGUACAUAAAAAAAUAUAGCCAGUGGAAGGUAAUCUCAAAAGUUCUAGUAGGUCGGGGUAGGGGAAGGAGAAGUCAUGAAAUAAGGUGGGAUUUGAACUUAAUCUUGAAGGAAACUAAGAGAUGGAAGUAAAAAGGGAAAACAAUCCAAGCACAAAGCCAGUGCAAAAAUACAGAGAUGUCACGUGCAUAAAACAGUAAAUGGAUAAUGUAGCUGGAUCAUGGAGUGUGCAGGAAGGUAAGUUUUGAAGAGCAUCAAAUGCCAAAGAAAGGACCACAGGGAGAUCUUAAAUGCUAUAGGGAACUACUAGGAUUUACUGGACAGGCAGAUGACAUGGGUAGAACUGUGCUUUAGAAAAAUUAUUUGAUAUCAUGGAUUAGAAUGGGAAGAGACUUGAGACAGGGAGAACAAUUAGAAAGUUUUGUGUUAGUCCACUUGAGAAGGGAUGAGAAUCUGAACUAGGGUGAUGGCUCUAUGAGCAAAGAAAAGAAAAUGUAUAGAAUGUAUUAUGAAUGUAGAAACAAUAUCUGAUGAUAUUUUCCAUAUGUGAAAUAAGUGGGAGUAAAGGGUCAAGGUUUACACUGAAGUUAAAAACAUGUAUGACUGGGAAGAAGGUGAUAUGCUCCACAGCAAUAGGAAUGUUAAAAAAAGAGAAAGAUGGAAGGAAAGAUGAUGACUUCUCUCUUAGAAGUAUGAAAUGCCAACAGGACUUCCAAUAUGAGAUGGGCAAAAGGAAGUUGAAAGAAAGUUAUUUAUUUGGGGGAGCAUCAAUAUGUAUACUCAAGUCUUCUUAUAAGAGGGCAGGUGAAAAACUGUGCAUGAAAGCAGUUAUACAUACCAAGGAUUAUAACUUUAUUUCCAACAAUGACUUAUAAGGAAACUAGAUGUAGGAAAAUAAUUCUUCAAUUAUUGCCUAAAUCUGACAUCUGACUGAAUA
rnacentral:lncRNA from 1 species